rnacentral:rRNA from 1 species
UACGUAGGGUGCAAGCGUUGUCCGGAAUUAUUGGGCGUAAAGAGCUCGUAGGCGGUCUGUCGCGUCUGGUGUGAAAACUCAGGGCUUAACCCUGAGCUUGCAUCGGGUACGGGCAGACUAGAGUGUGCUAGGGGAGACUGGAAUUCCUGGUGUAGCGGUGAAAUGCGCAGAUAUCAGGAGGAACACCGGUGGCGAAGGCGGGUCUCUGGGCCGAAAUUGACGCUGAGGAGCGAAAGCGUGGGGAGCAAACAGG